AAAUUAUUCAAUCUGUGAUAGCUAAAAAGAUGACGAAAUUGAUUGUUAAACUGUUUAAUGCAAUUUUAGCCACUUACCAUUGAGUUUAGAAUUAAGGCUAGUGUGAUUGUUAUCUUUGAAGGUGGAUUCCAAGCCAACAUAAUUGUGAAAAGGUAUAGAUUUUGAGCAUUCAAAUGGUCAAUGAGCUAAACAUAGUCUGGAAGGCGUUGUAGCUUUAGCUACCAGGCUUUGAAUUACUAUGACUACUCACUUGGAAACACAGUAACUUUUCAGUUUUCUGCUUGUAUGCUUCCUCAGUGCUCCGUUCUUCAGGUGGCACUCAUGUUCUGCUAUCAAAGAUGAAAUGGAAAACUAUGGAUACAUGGAAAUGUAGAGAUUUGAGAGGAGAUGGAGACGCCUUUCACUCAACAAUUUUGCAUUGAAAAGAAAAUCCCGACUUUAC
rnacentral:misc_RNA from 1 species